UACGACGGGGGCUAGCGUUGUUCGGAAUUACUGGGCGUAAAGCGCACGUAGGCGGUUUGUUAAGUUAGGGGUGAAAUCCCAGGGCUCAACCCUGGAACUGCCUUUAAUACUGGCAAUCUCGAGUCCGAGAGAGGUGAGUGGAAUUCCGAGUGUAGAGGUGAAAUUCGUAGAUAUUCGGAGGAACACCAGUGGCGAAGGCGGCUCACUGGCUCGGUACUGACGCUGAGGUGCGAAAGCGUGGGGAUCAAACAGG
rnacentral:rRNA from 1 species